UAGGGAAUCUUCCACAAUGGGCGCAAGCCUGAUGGAGCAACACCGCGUGAGUGAAGAAGGGUUUCGGCUCGUAAAGCUCUGUUGUUGGAGAAGAACGUGCGUUAGAGUAACUGUUCACGCAGUCACGGUAUCCAACACGACAGUCACGGCUAACUACGUGCCAGCAGUCGCGGUAAUACGUAGGUGGCAAGCGUUAUCCGGAUUUAUUGGGCGUAAAGCGAGCGCAGGCGGUUGCUUAGGUCUGAUGUGAAAGCCUUCGGCUUAACCGAAGAAGUGCAUCGGAAACCGGGCGACUUGGAUGCAGAAGAGGACAGUGGAACUCCAUGUGUAGCGGUGGAAUGCGUAGAUAUAUGGAAGAACACCAGUGGCGAAGGCGGCUGUCUGGUCUGCAACUGACGCUGAGGCUCGAAAGCAUGGGUAGCGAACAGG
rnacentral:rRNA from 1 species